UACAGAGGUCUCAAGCGUUGUUCGGAUUCAUUGGGCGUAAAGGGUGCGUAGGCGGCGCGGUAAGUCGGGUGUGAAAUCUCGGAGCUUAACUCCGAAACUGCAUUCGAUACUGCCGUGCUUGAGGACUGGAGAGGAGACUGGAAUUUACGGUGUAGCGGUGAAAUGCGUAGAUAUCAGGAGGAACACCAAUGGCGAAGGCAGCUCGCUGGGACGGUACUGACGCUGAGGCGCGAAAGCGUGGGGAGCAAACAGG
rnacentral:rRNA from 1 species